UGUCCACCGAAAGCCUAAGGUUUCCUGGGGAAGGCUCGUCCUCCCAGGGUUAGUCGGGACCUAAGCUGAGGCCGAAAGGCGUAGGCGAUGGACAACUGGUUGAUAUUCCAGUACCACCUCUGUUCCGUUUGAGCAAUGGCGUGACGCAGGAGGAUAGGGUGAGCGGCCUAUUGGAUGGCCGUCUAAGCAGUAAGUGUGGUGUGUAGGCAAAUCCGCACAC
rnacentral:rRNA from 1 species